AAUACCGAUAGAAAUUGGGAAAGCAAAUAAGAAAACGAAACAAAAUCAACAUUAUUUUCAAAAGUAUGGGCGUAGCAAUAUUUGGACACAAACUUCCGCUGCAUGCUUAAUAUCCAAUAUCUAGCUCUCAAAGAUCGAGGCGUUCAUACAGAUAAACGGCGGGCAGACGGACAUGGCCAGAUCGACUCGGCUAAUGAUACUAAUCAAGAAUAUAUUUAGAUAUGUAUAUAUAUAUAGGGUCGGAAAUCGUUUUUCAAAAAUUUGUGCGUGAUCACGUCGUUCAUAAGGACAAGCGGACAGAAUUACAUACAUUUCCAACGAUUGAAGUAUAUCCGGAGACGACGUUAUUUUGAGGGACGUGAAUGCAUGCUAUACUUUCCAAUAUUAAAUAAAAACCUUCUGCAAACUGAAGAAAAACUGGGCAUAUGCGAGUUUUAGCGGUAUUACCGGGAAAAGUUCCCAAACAUUUAACAGCGGUUGUUAGAUCUUGGCUCGUCUGAAACUGUUCUCAAGUCCCCAGACUUGUAUGUAAUCGAAAAUUUAUGAACAUAAGACAAUGACAUGAGGAAUGAUGAAGAUAAGUAUGUGACUUCCCGUUGAAUUAGGGUUUUGAUCUAAUAAUAGAUGGGCCGCGGACGGAAGUUGCUGGCUUUGUCCUUGAGACUGCAUAUUUCUUUGUAAGUUUGUUCAACAUGCAUUUAAAUCCAACGUUGAUAACAUGUGUCUUAAAUCAAUAAGCCACCCUUCAGUAAACACAGUGGAUGUUGUUUACAUGAUUAGACCUCUAAGGAAAAAUAUUAUCCGUAAAAUAUGGGUAUGAAUUGUAUUAGUUAUAAAGUCAACCUAAUUUAACUAUUUUCAGAGCUGUUAAAACGAUUUACUAUAGCAAACUGAUGGAUAACAAAA